rnacentral:rRNA from 1 species
GUUGAGCUGUGAUGGCGAGUCCGUAUGGACGAAGUUCCUGAUUUCACACUGCCAAGAAAAGCCUCUAUCGAGGUGAGAGGUGCCCGUACCGCAAACCGACACAGGUAGUCGAGGAGAGAAUCCUAAGGUGUGCGAGAGAACUCUCGUUAAGGAACUCGGCAAAAUGACCCCGUAACUUCGGGAGAAGGGGUGCGCUUGAGCGUGCAAGCGCAUGAGAGCCGCAGUGAAUAGGCCCAGGCGACUGUUUAGCAAAAACACAGGUCUCUGCAAAACCGUAAGGUGACGUAUAGGGGCUGACGCCUGCCCGGUGCUGGAAGGUUAAGAGGAGUGGUUAGCGCAAGCGAAGCUGCGAAUUGAAGCCCCAGUAAACGGCGGCCGUAACUAUAACGGUCCUAAGGUAGCGAAAUUCCUUGUCGGGUAAGUUCCGACCCGCACGAAAGGCGUAACGAUCUGGGCACUGUCUCAACGAGAGACUCGGUGAAAUUAUAGUACCUGU